UUUUUUUUUUUUUUUUUUUUUUGGUCUUUUCAGGGCCCCACUGGUGGCAUAUGGAGGUUUCCAGACUAGGGGUUGAAUCAGAGCUGUAGCCACUGGCCUACACCACAGCCACAGCAACCCGGGAUCCGAGCUGGGUCUGCAACUACACCACAGCCCAGGGCAAGGCCAGAUCCUUAACCCACUGAGCGAGGCCAGGGAUCGAAAGACCCACAACCUCAUGGUUCCUAGUCGGAUUCGUUAACCAUUGUGCCAUGACGGGAACGCCUCUCACCAACAUCUUUUGUCUUUAGCUGAAGAUGGUAUUUAGGUUAAUGAUUUGGGCCAUUUCUGGUGGUUACUCAGUUUUCCUAGGUAUCACUCAUGUAUACAGGAGGUAUAUAUGUUAUUAAACUUCUGUUUGUUUUUCUCCUGCUAAUCUGUUUUUUAUUAUAGGGAUGGAAGGCUCAGUUGUAAAACAAUCAAUAAAUAAGAAACCUCAAUUAAGUAGAGUUGGGAGAAAUGAAAAGGGAGAUUUCAUGCCUGUGAUGGUAGCAGAGCCCAACAGGAAGAAGACAGAUUCCUCUUCUUUCCUGGCAAGAACUCAGCCAAUGAAAAGCCAUGGGCUCUUUUUUCACUUUAGCCCCUCCAAAUUUCUUUUCCUAUGAUAAAAGCAGUUUCCUUCCCUUUCAGUGCAGGCACUUACUUGCACUUGGUUUGCCAUGUCUGUAGACACCCAAAUAAUUCUCAACUGACACAGAAUUAAACCCAUUUUUUGCUGGAGAAGUAUCUGGCAGUCUAGUUGUUUUGGAUCAACAAUUUGGUGGCCUGUACAGGGACUAGGGAUGGUCUGGCGCUGGUGGGCAAAACAGGUGAGGUACCCACAGUGGAGCCCAUUGUAGCUCAAGGUUUCUCUUGCUAACCCUGGAAUUUGAAGGUAUGUUAAUUUCUGAAUCUAAGCUCAGGUCCUCUUUGCAUUUGAAGCUCUCCAGGCUUUAUUCAGGAUCUAUUUAAAAGUUUCAUCUUUUGGGAAAGCUAUUGUUCCAUAUGUGAGUAUUCGUCUGGCACUUUGGUCUGAUUUUGAGAUCAGAUGGCUUCUCUGAAGCCCUGGCUAGCCUUCGAACCAUUCCUUCAGGAACAGGGCUUAUUUCUUCAAAAUGGUGCUGAGUUUUUCAGUCUUCAGCUGAUCUCUCUGGAAGGACUGUCCUCUGGAGACACCCUAAAAAAAAAGCCUUUGGCCUGGCUCCUCUGGGACCCAGCUAUUUGCUUAAGAUUGGCUGGAAUUGGCUUGCAAGCUGUUUGAAAUGAGCCAUUUUUGCUGUGAACUAUUUAAGCUGUUUGAAAAUUGUUCUUUACUUUAAAGGAAAAUCCUCUAAAAAAAACGGGAUCCCAGUUAUCUAAGUAUUUUGAGCCUGCCCCCUUUCCCACAGUAUCUCUGGCUGACUUUAUGUUUAAAUUCUUUAUGUUUAAAUUUAAAUUAAAUCAAAUUCUUUCUCAUGCUCAUUUCUAAUUAAAUGGACCAACCCCUACGAAAAGCUAUUUAGAAUAUCAAUGGCCAUUAUGGGGAACUUUUUAAAUUCCCAAACUGGUUUCCUUAAAACUGAAUUUGACUACAAUAGCUCAAAAAUUCCCCAAACUGAGUGAAAUGCUUGCUUUGAUUGGGAUUCCCAAUGUUAUCAGGAGUCUAAAAUUGCCUCUAUGCAAAGAUUAACUGAGGCAAGCAAAAGAUUAAAGAAAGAUAAAAUGGCUCCUGAAGCCUGAGGCUCCGUCUGUGGUACCACCUUGUCUCCCUCGACUCCCUGUAGCCAGACUGCCUCCCACACCAUCUUUCUCCUUCCCUUCUAUGCAGCCUAUGCCUUCACUAGAUCUUCAUUUCCUUCAUACUCCCUCUUUUCUAUUCCAUUGACAAACUCCUCCUUUUCUCUGAAACUCUCCCCACUUCCUUUUCCUCUAACUUGCCAGAACUUUAAAAUAAGCCUUCUGAGAAUCCAAAGGCAAACUCUUAAUUUCUUUUACUCCCUGGAUUAAAGCUGAACUGUGAGCCAUAGUCAAAGAUUUUCCCAAAGCAACUGAAGAUUGUUACAGGUUUGGUGAGGAAUUUAAUAUAAUUAUUCAAACCGGUUUCUCUGAUGUAUAUUAGCUAGUUCAUAAGCUUGUUGCUGAAGGGCAGGCCCAGCAUUGGAUGAAAACCCAUAACUGGGGAAGUCUUGAAAGGUCUCUAGAAUUACAAGCAGAAGACCAGCCCACUAACUUACAUGAUCAGGCUCCGGCAAGCACUAGGCAACUUCAUUGAACAAUUUCUAGGGUUUUUCCAAAGGAACAAAUUUCAGGCUUGCAUACAAAUAUCUAACAAAUCUGUUCAUGAUUUUUAUAAUCAACUUCAGAUUAUGAACAUUCUGGCCAUCAUGAAAAUGUUGAUUCCACCUAAGUAGCUUUUAAUGCUAUGCUUAUUAAUGAGCUGAACCAGGACAUCUCCUUUCUAGUAAAAAGCACCAGGAUGAAAUGGGAAACAAUGUCUGCUCUAGAUUUAAUUAAUCUGACAAACCAGCUCUCUCUCGUGAUCUAGAUGAGUCACUUCAAAGGAAGACUGCCAACAUUCUUAAUCUUCAAAUGCAGAAAAUAAAGGCUCCUAAAUGAAACCUAAAUCUUCCUAGUUUCUGAUAUCAUUGCAAAGAGUCAGAACAUUGGAAAAGAGAUUGUUAAACAAAUUUCAGCACUUUAGGCAACUUCCACUCUUUAAUCAGACGUUCCAAGACUCUUCCGAUUCUCAAUGACAGGGAUUCUUCUCAAUCCACCCUUUUAACUGGCUUGGAGAAACAUGUCUUCAUACUGGGGAUGAAUAUUUCCUAGUCCUAAGUGACACUGGAGCCACACUUUUCACACUCAACCCCACCACUUUGUAAUAGCCCCUGCCUUAGAGUACUAAAACAUUUCAAAUAGUGGGGAUCUCUAAUGUACCUCAAGAGGUUUAUGUUUCUGAAGCUAUCCCAUUUAUUUAAGCCAUUUGAGAGAUACCAGCCCUUUUCUCCUUACUUCUUCUGCUCCAUCCAUUUAUUAUGCUGGGACUUCUUAGAGAAGUAUCAUGCUGGAAUUUCUCCCAAAAGGGGGAUAUAAUUCUAGACAUUGACAAGAUCAAAGUAACUAACCAAGUGAAUUAAAUGACCUAUUUAUAUCUUUAAUAUGUUCCAUCUCUGAUGAUACUAUAGCAGAUUCUGGAAAAUCUAAUCACUUAUCCCUAUUGAAUCACCUACCAUCCCCCUUACAGGCAAAAUCUCCAUCGUGUUGUUGGCAAAAUUAACGGUGUACCUCCUAUCAAGUUUCAAAUAGACCUGUCAAAAUCUCUUCCCAGAAUUAAUCAAUACACUGUAAGUAAAGGAGCCAUUUAAGGCAUAAAGCCCAAGACAGAAGAAUACAAAGCCCAAAGUCUCAUUAUUCCUUAUACCAGCCCCUGCAACACUCACAUUUUAGCAAGAAAACCUAAUGGCUGAUGGUGGAGGUUUGUCUAGGACUUCUGAGUGAUAAACAAUAUUGUUAUUCCUUGACAUCUUUUACUCCUAACGAUCACACAUUACUAACAUUCAUUCCCAGUGGAAGUAAAUUCUUCACUAUAACUGACUUAUGAAGUGCACUAUUCAAUACUCCAGUUGAUGAAGCUAUCCAGCACACACUUGCCUUCCCUUAGAAAGUAAACAAUGCCUCAGGGCAUUAUAGAAAGUCCUUUUUCACAAAUACCCAAGAUUGGUCUAGAUGACAAAGUUCGCUAGGGUUUCUACUUUGUUGCAACAUGUGAAUAAUUUACAUUUUUUGCUUUCUGUCUCAAUAGAGCCUCCUCACAGGGAAAGGGCAUCUACUUCUAAAGCUUUUAGCCUUAAAAGUCAUAAGGUCACCAUAGAAAAAUUGUAAUUUUCCCAAACACAGGUUUGAUAUUUAGGACAUCCAAUAUCAGAAACAAGGGCUACAUCUAGAUCUGGAUAGACCUAAUCGUAUCCUAAGUUUCCCCAAGCCUAAAACUAAGGACCAACUGUGAAGUUUUUUUAGGCUAGUUGGUUAUUGUCAAAAUUGGAUUCCAAAUUUCUCUCUUGUGGCCAAAUCUUUAUAUGUUUUACUCAACAAUAAUAAUCUUGACCAAAUUGUAUGGGAAGAAUUAUACAACAUGGCCUUCAAGGCCAUAAAGGAGAUUUUGAUUAACCCACCUGCUCUUGGGCAUCCCAAUUUUCACUGUGUAUAUGAAAAAGAAGGAAAUUCUCUUGUGGUAUUCACCCCAAAAUAUGGGGACAACCAUCACCCAUAGGGUAUUAUAGCCAGCAACUGGACCCUAUGGCAGGAAUUACUGCUUGCCUUGGAACCAUCAUAGCCAGUGCUCUUUCAGUUAAGGGUCACUAAGAAAACUGUUGUGGAAAUAAAAUUUUAAAUAGCCCCUAUGUUCAGGAAUUAUUGAAAGCAAUACUUUUACUUGACACUCUAGCUAUUACAAAAUUCCAGGGCAUUCUCAACUUGACCCUCUGGGAGCUAGAAGAAAUUACUCUGUUGAUAUUUCUGUAAGGGAUGCCAUCCUUAAAGGGAUCAACAGCAAACUUCUGUCAUGGUCAAAAGGAAUAUUUCCUCAAAUCAUAAUUUGGAAAAACAGGCUAAAGAAGCCCAAAAAUCGAUCUCAGAAAAGGAAAAAAAAAAUUUGGAAAUUCAACAAUUGUUGGUUUGAUAAAAAGUGAAAGCUCUGAUUUAGACCAAAUAACAACCCAGUCACACCAGAGACUCUAAAGUUCCCAUUUUUCACCACUGUACAUGCAUUAUACCAUUGGUCUACAGACAAAAUGAUAGCAUUCAUUUAUCAAUAUUGGUGAGAAACAGUAACAAGAUCGCAGAGUGCCCACCUCACUCGUCUUUCUUGUCCAAAGUACAUUCCAGGGAAGCCUGAUCAUACUUUUCCUAGACAGUUUAAACUAAUGGACUAUUUGAGAUCUGGCAAGUGGAUUUCAAAUAACUUUUCCUCUGUUGGAUACAAAUAUGUUUUUGUCAUGGUGUGUGUUUUCACACUGGACUGAUGAGUUCCCUUGCAGACAGGCUACUAUCUCUUCUGAGGUUAGGGUUCUUUAGGGAAAGAUUCUCCCUCUCAAUCUUCAUAGUGAUUGAGGAACCCGUUUUACCAGUCAAGUGCUUCAACAAGUCUGUGUUUGGCUGAUUUUAAAACACUUUCACUGUGCUUUCCAUCUUCAAUCCUCUAGUGCAGACAAAUGCACUAAUGACAUUAUUAAGACUCUGUUGGUUUUUUCAGGAAUGUUCCCUCUAUACACACUUUGGCGAGGGUCUUGAUCAUGAAUGGAUGUUGGACUUUGUCAAAUGCUUUUUCUUCAUCUAUUGAGAUGAUCAUAUGAUUUUUGACUUUUCUUUUGUUAAUGUGGUAUAUGAAGUAGAUUGAUUUGUGUAUGUUGAACCAUCCUUGUGAACCUGGGAUGAACCCUACCUGGUCAUGAGUUUGGAUUUUUUUGAUAUGUUGUUGGAUUCGGUUGCCUAAGAUUUUGUUGAAAAUUUUUGCAUCUAUAUUCAUUAAUGAUAUUGGCUGAUAGCAAUACCUAUAAAAUUACCCAUGACAUUUUCCACAGAACUCGAACAAACAAUCCAAACAUUUAGAUGGAACAACAAAAGACCCAGAAUCGCCAAAGCAAUCCUGAGAAACAAAAACCAAGCAGGAGGCAUAACUCUCCCAGACUUCAAGAAAUGUUACAAAGCCACAGUCAUCAAAACAGUGUGGUACUGGUACCAAAACAGACAGACAGACCAAUGGAACAGAAUA
rnacentral:lncRNA from 1 species